GUGGGUGUAGCUCAGGGGUAGAGUGCCUGCUUAGCAUGCAGGAGGUCCUGGGUUCAAUCCCCAGUACCUCCA
rnacentral:tRNA from 1 species